AAUUUGUUUUGUACUAUAUUUCUUUAAAUUGUCGGCUGGUCAUGGUUUUUGUUAUUAGAACAUGGCGUAAAUGCAACAUGUGGUAAGUUUCUGCCGUAAAGUGGCAUGUAUAACCGCAAAUACAACUGGUGCAACUUAAAAGAGAAAUUUCAGGGCGUUAAUUUAGUACAAUUUUAAAAUUUCCUGUAUGAGAACAAUAUUUCUUCGUAUAUGUAUGUUUUUUAGAGUUUGCAACAUCAAAAGUUCGAAUGCAAGCGAUCAACAGGGCUCACUCAGUACUCGUAAAUAUCUAUCUGAGAAGUCUGGCUGAGAGAAUGGUACUUAGACUAAUUAUGGUCUAACUUUGUAAUUCACGAACACAGUACUGGCAGUGAUACUGGUUUUUGUUAGUAGCGGUAUUUUUGGAUUACACCUGGUAAAUGUGUCAAUUCAUGAAGAAAUUCAGACGCUCAAAUGAGUUCUUUUACAGUAAUGUGAAGAGGAAAGAAACCACACAAAGGGAUGAUGCGAAAUGCAAAGAAGAUGAGAGGUGGGAUUUUCUGCUGGAUGGGUUUGCUGCAUUAAUGAAAGUUGAAUGGGUUGAAACGAAAAUUGUUGGCAAGUACAUAGCAAUUUCACUUGUUCUUCAGUUAAAGAAUGAAAAACAUUUAAUUGUUUUGCAUCGUGGUGUUUACUGCUUCAGAAUAGCGAAAAGAAAAAAGAUCGCAUUCACUUUCUAUGGAAGUACUAUUGUAAUGUUGCUUUGAACAGCAUAUUUAAUUAUGCAACGAUCUAACUGAAUUUCAAACUUACUGAGAAUUUUAACUUCUGUGAAUAAGCUCACACUCAACUCUCGUUCCACUGAAAGUUAUGUAGCCAGCCAAAUUGCAACUUUGGUCAUGUUUUGUAACUUUACAUUAAUAUCAUAAUUUGUUUCUUUAGAAAAAAAACAUACUUUCGAUUAAAAAACAUACUUUCGAUUUGCCCGA